rnacentral:rRNA from 1 species
GGGCCCCACUCCUACGGGAGGCAGCAGUGGGGAAUUUUGGACAAUGGGCGAAAGCCUGAUCCAGCAACGCAGCGUGAAGGACGACGGUUCUCGGAUUGUAAACUUCUUUUGCAGGGGAAGAAAAAAAUGACGGUACCCUGUGAAUAAGCCACGGCUAACUACGUGCCAGCAGCCGCGGUAAGACGUAGGUGGCAAGCGUUACUCGGAAUUACUAGGCGUAAAGCGUUCGUAGGCGGAAGUUUAAGUCUGCUGUGCAAUCUUCGGGCUCAACCCGGAAACUGCAGCAGAAACUGGAUUUCUUGAGUGAGGCAGAGGAAGAUGGAAUUCCUGGUGUAGCAGUGAAAUGCGUAGAUAUCAGGAGGAACACCGGUGGCGAAGGCGGUCUUCUGGGCCUUUACUGACGCUAAAGAACGAAAGCUAGGGGAGCAAACGGAAUUAGAUACCCCGGUAGUCCUAGCCGUAAACGAUGAUAACUAGGUGUGGGAGGUAUCGACCCCUUCCGUGCCGCCGCUAACGCAUUAAGUUAUCCGCCUGGGGAGUACGGCCGCAAGGUUAAAACUCAAAGGAAUUGACGGGGGCCCGCACAAGCGGUGGAUUAUGUGAUUUAAUUCGACGCUACGCGAAGAACC